UUAAGUUAAUAAGGGCGCACGGUGGAUGCCUUGGCACUAGGAGCCGACGAAGGACGUGACAAACGACGAUAUGCCUUGGGUAGCUGUAAGUAAGCGAUGAUCCAGGGAUUUCCGAAUGGGGGAACCCAACAGGUAAUACCUGUUACCUACAUCUGUUAAGGAUGUGAGGAGGAAGACGCAGUGAACUGAAACAUCUAAGUAGCUGCAGGAAGAGAAAGCAAAAGCGAUUGCCUUAGUAGCGGCGAGCGAAACGGCAGAAGGGCAAACCGAAGAGUUUACUCUUCGGGGUUGUAGGACUGCAAUGUGGACUCAAAGAUUAUAGAAGAAUGAUUUGGGAAGAUCAGCCAAAGAGAGUAAUAGCCUCGUAUUUAAAAUAGUCUUUGUACUUAGCAGUAUCCUGAGUACGGCGGGACACGUGAAAUCCCGUCGGAAUCUGGGAGGACCAUCUCCCAACCCUAAAUACUCCCUAGUGACCGAUAGUGAACCAGUACCGUGAGGGAAAGGUGAAAAGCACCCCGGGAGGGGAGUGAAAUAGAACCUGAAACCGUGUGCCUACAACAAGUUCGAGCCCGUUAAUGGGUGAGAGCGUGCCUUUUGUAGAAUGAACCGGCGAGUUACGUUAUGAUGCGAGGUUAAGUUGAAGAGACGGAGCCGUAGGGAAACCGAGUCUGAAUAGGGCGCCUUAGUAUCAUGACGUAGACCCGAAACCAUGUGACCUACCCAUGAGCAGGUUGAAGGUGCGGUAAGACGCACUGGAGGACCGAACCAGGGCACGUUGAAAAGUGCUUGGAUGACUUGUGGGUAGCGGAGAAAUUCCAAACGAACUUGGAGAUAGCUGGUUCUCUCCGAAAUAGCUUUAGGGCUAGCGUCGACAUUAGAGAUUCUUGGAGGUAGAGCACUGUUUGGGUGAGGGGUCCAUCCCGGAUUACCAAUCUCAGAUAAACUCCGAAUGCCAAUGAAUUAUGGUCGGCAGUCAGACUGCGAGUGCUAAGAUCCGUAGUCGAAAGGGAAACAGCCCAGACCACCAGCUAAGGUCCCAAAAUAAUUGUUAAGUGGAAAAGGAUGUGGGGUUGCACAGACAACUAGGAUGUUAGCUUAGAAGCAGCUAUUCAUUCAAAGAGUGCGUAAUAGCUCACUAGUCGAGUGACCCUGCGCCGAAAAUGUACCGGGGCUAAAACAAUUUACCGAAGCUGUGGAUACCUUUAUAGGUAUGGUAGGAGAGCGUUCUAUGUGUGAUGAAGGUAUACCGUGAGGAGUGCUGGAACGCAUAGAAGUGAGAAUGCCGGUAUGAGUAGCGAAAGACAGGUGAGAAUCCUGUCCACCGUAAGACUAAGGUUUCCAGGGGAAGGCUCGUCCGCCCUGGGUUAGUCGGGACCUAAGGAGAGACCGAAAGGUGUAUCCGAUGGACAACAGGUUGAUAUUCCUGUACUAGAGUAUGUAGUGAUGGAGGGACGCAGUAGGCUAACUAAAGCAGACGAUUGGAAGAGUCUGUCUAAGCAGUGAGGUGUGAAUUGAGUCAAAUGCUUAAUUCUAUAACAUUGAGCUGUGAUGGGGAGCGAAGUUUAGUAGCGAAGUUAGUGACGUCACACUGCCAAGAAAAGCUUCUAGCGUUUAAACAUACUCUACCCGUACCGCAAACCGACACAGGUAGUCGAGGCGAGUAGCCUCAGGUGAGCGAGAGAACUCUCGUUAAGGAACUCGGCAAAAUGACCCCGUAACUUCGGGAGAAGGGGUGCUGACUUAAAGUCAGCCGCAGUGAAUAGGCCCAAGCAACUGUUUAUCAAAAACACAGCUCUCUGCUAAAUCGUAAGAUGAUGUAUAGGGGGUGACGCCUGCCCGGUGCUGGAAGGUUAAGAGGAGUGCUUAGCGUAAGCGAAGGUAUGAAUUGAAGCCCCAGUAAACGGCGGCCGUAACUAUAACGGUCCUAAGGUAGCGAAAUUCCUUGUCGGGUAAGUUCCGACCCGCACGAAAGGCGUAAUGAUUUGGGCACUGUCUCAACGAGAGACUCGGUGAAAUUUUAGUACCUGUGAAGAUGCAGGUUACCCGCGACAGGACGGAAAGACCCCAUGGAGCUUUACUGCAGUUUGAUAUUGAGUGUCUGUACCACAUGUACAGGAUAGGUAGGAGUCUAAGAGAUCGGGACGCCAGUUUCGAAGGAGACGCUGUUGGGAUACUACCCUUGUGUUAUGGCCACUCUAACCCAGAUAGGUGAUCCCUAUCGGAGACAGUGUCUGACGGGCAGUUUGACUGGGGCGGUCGCCUCCUAAAAGGUAACGGAGGCGCCCAAAGG
rnacentral:rRNA from 1 species